AUGAUUGAUUUAAUAGCCGCAGUAUCUUGACUGUGCAAAGGUAGCAUAAUAAAUUGUCUUUUAAUUGGGGACUGGAAUGAAUGAUAGGAUGUGAUAAGUACUGUCUUUAUGGUAAUUGGUUGAAAUUUACUUUUUGAUGAAAAGGUUAAAAUUUGGAUGGUAGACGAGAAGACCCUAUCAAGCUUUAUUUUGAUUGGAAGUCUUGCUUUAUUUUAUUGGUGGGUGGAUUUUAAUUAAAAUUUUAUUGGGGCAAUGUUUGAAUAUAUUAUAAUUUUUUAAUUUUUGUUAUAGAUUGAUCCAUUUUUAAUGAUUAGUGGAGUAAGUUACUGUAGGGAUAACAGCGUAAUUAAUUUGGAGAGUUCAUAUUGGUAAAUUGGAUUGCGACCUCGAUGUUGGUUUAAUGAUUCUUUAGGGUGUAGCAGUUUUAUAAGAG
rnacentral:rRNA from 1 species